GACAGAGGGUGCGAACGUUGUUCGGAAUUACUGGGCGUAAAGCGCGUGUAGGCGGCGCGGAAAGUCGGGUGUGAAAGCCCUGGGCUCAACCUAGGAAGUGCACUCGAAACUCCCGUGCUGGAGUCCCGGAGAGGGAGGCGGAAUUCUCGGUGUAGAGGUGAAAUUCGUAGAUAUCGAGAGGAACACCUGUGGCGAAGGCGGCCUCCUGGACGGCGACUGACGCUGAGACGCGAAAGCGUGGGGAGCAAACAGG
rnacentral:misc_RNA from 1 species